rnacentral:rRNA from 1 species
GUAGGGAAUAUUGGGCAAUGGAUGCAAGUCUGACCCAGCCAUCCCGCGUGCCGGAAGAAGGCCUUCGGGUUGUAAACUGCUUUUGUACGGAACGAAACGGUCCGGGUUAAUACCCUGGGCUAAUGACGGUACCGUAAGAAUAAGCACCGGCUAACUACGUGCCAGCAGCCGCGGUAAUACGUAGGGUGCAAGCGUUAAUCGGAAUUACUGGGCGUAAAGCGUGCGCAGGCGGUGAUGUAAGACAGUUGUGAAAUCCCCGGGCUCAACCUGGGAACUGCAUCUGUGACUGCAUUGCUGGAGUGCGGCAGAGGGGGAUGGAAUUCCGCGUGUAGCAGUGAAAUGCGUAGAUAUGCGGAGGAACACCGAUGGCGAAGGCAAUCCCCUGGGCCUGCACUGACGCUCAUGCACGAAAGCGUGGGGAGCAAACAGGAUUAGAAACCCUGGUAGUCC